UAAAAAGAAAUGUUUUGAACCAAGACGUAGUGCAAACUUUUUUACUUUUAAAGUUUCUUUAAGAAAACAAUGGUGCUCACAGUAAAACUGUGAUGACCCCAGUGCUUGCACAGCACUUCACUGUGUAUAAAAUACUUACCCGGAUCUUUGCGACAGAGACAGGUGUUCUCCUCCGCGUGCCUAGAGGGAGAAGGAGCUGCCCCAGAUGACCUGGCUGGUUGGGUCAGGGCCAAGGUACCCAGAUUCUGCCAGAGAGACCCCGGGGUCUCCCACUGCAUCCCCCUCCGCAAGGUGCAGUGCACAGAAAACCAACUCCCAGAGGUCAACAGUGAACUAUCAGCCCUUAUUUUGGCCAGUAAUUGCCAGUUCCUCCCUCAGAAACCAUUCCCAAGGCUUCUAGCAGGAAGCCAAUGGACCAUUGAGAACCACAUCCUGGCUGCUUCUGACCUCCUGCUGCUGUAGGUGAAAACAGGUCACGGGAAGAGAUAAAGGUGGAGAGCAAGGAGAAAACUGCGGUGGAAGGGAAGACCCAGUCCAGCUGGCAGAGGGCUCGGGCCCAGAACUUGAGGGUUGCUUUUGACUGUCUUUGCGAAGUUUGCUGAAAACCAGGCCAAUCAAGCAGUUUUUAAAAGCUCCAAAUUGUAAACCACAGGAGGGAGCAGAGCCAUAGUUCUCAAAUUGUACUGAGUACCAGCAUUGCCUCGGGAGCUUGUAAAACUGCAGACUCCUAAGCCCCUUCUCCAGAUGCAGAAGGAUUCUGAACCUCAUUCAGAAGGAUUCUCUACCUGCGUUCUAACCAGCCCCCCACCCCCAAUGAUUCAGACAUGGGUGGAGGCGAGAACCGAGAACCAGGGAGAUUAAAUUGUCGUUAACAGUGACAUCUCAGGUCCCUCAACAAUGGCCAGGCUGUGCAGCCUCCAGGAGCACCGCUUCCCUGCCUCUGUGGUUUGAGGGGCCAGGGGACCAGCCCACAGUGGAGGUGGAGAGAGCACCAAGACUCCAGGCCGGGGCACACAGAGUGUCCCAGUGAGUGAGCCAGGACAAGAGGCCGUGGGUGAGAGAGGGACUGGGGAGCCAGGGGGUCCGAGAGCUAGGGCUGUGAGCAGGAAGGAAGCAAAGGCAAGGGGGUGAGCUAGGCAGAUGGGAGGGUGGCCUGGGAGUUUGCCAGGCACAGCAGGCUCUGAGUUCCCAACCUCACAGGGCCUGGGGCACAACGAACACUUGCUGAGUGAGGAAGGCAAAACUCUAAAGAGUCUAUGCAGGCCACUACAGCUGUGCAAAGAACACUAACAAAGAGAAUUUGGAGAGAUGUAAAUAGCCGCGUUUCAUGAUCAUCAGGUUCCUUUUUUUCCAUAAACUUUGCUUAAGUUCAUAAUAAAAAAAUAAACACAG
rnacentral:lncRNA from 1 species